rnacentral:rRNA from 1 species
UACAGAGGUCCCAAGCGUUGUUCGGAUUCACUGGGCGUAAAGGGUGCGUAGGCGGUCGGGUAAGUCUGAUGUGAAAUCUCACAGCUUAACUGUGAAACUGCAUUGGAUACUAUCCGGCUCGAGGAAUGGAGGGGAGAUUGGAAUACUUGGUGUAGCAGUGAAAUGCGUAGAUAUCAAGUGGAACACCAGUGGCGAAGGCGAGUCUCUGGACAUUUCCUGACGCUGAGGCACGAAAGCCAGGGGAGCAAACGGG